rnacentral:misc_RNA from 1 species
AAUAGGUACUUCUUCAGUUAUAAUGGUUUGUAAAGUUUAAGGUUGACAUUGUAAUAAUAGUUGAGUUUCUAAUUUAAAUUACACUUUAAGGUUGGGGGCCAUGGUUUUAAUUUGGAAUCAUUUUAAUAAUACUGUUUCAAGCUUAUUAUCUUUGUCUGGAGUGAUUCACUUCUAUUUGACCGAUGCUUGAUUAUAUAAUGUUUUCUUAUCGUUGUUGUCCACUGUAAUUAAUUAACAUCCUAUGGUUGUCCAGUUGCACUUAAUUAUUCCCGUUGUUGCAUCAAGUUUGGUUUAUGAAACAUAUUAUAUGAAGAUAAUAUCAAAACUUUGGCCCA